GAUAAUUCAAGGGAAUUCGUGAGCACUCCCACAUUACACUCACCACCUUUUCGCAGCGACACCGACAUAUGCCACAUUUUCAUUUUACCUUUUUUUUCUUGCAAAAGAUCGUUAAUUAAAGAACUGGAUUUAAGAUUAAUCUCUACAUAUAUACAUAUUUACGGAUAUGUACGUUUUUUUUGAACAACAAGUGCUUAUGCUAAAAUUAAACGCACAUGAGUUAAGUCAGUUAAAUCCAAAGAGACACUAAAUUGAUAAACUAACAUAACUAAAACAUAAAUAUACAUAUUCAUUCUCGUAAAAUAUACUCAAUAUUACAGAGAUAUAUGUGCCAGCUGUUUAGAUACAUACAUAUGCAUGAAUAAUAAAACCCACAGAUUACAAAUCUUUUUUUUUUUUUUUUUGAAACUAACAGAUUACAAAUCUUGGUCGUUGGAACCAAGACACAUACCAUCAUACUUCGAGGAGUGACGAGAAUAUAUAAUUCUUAAGCUGAUUUUAGGAUAUAGUUCGUAUCCUACCUUUCCUCUGUCUAUCGGCUUUGUUUCACCGUAAGAGGUAAAUAACCAAACUGAAUUUGAAAAAAUAUAUACAAUGGAUUAUAUAUUUAUAACAGAGUAAAACUUUAAUAUUUUGCAUAGAGAGACAUACGCACAGCUAUAUAUAAAUGGCAAAGACCAGACAAAGCUGAAAAGAUAGCAUCACGCUCGUACUCUUUUAAUACUAAAUUUAAUUUCCACGUAUAUAUUGUACUAAUUAAUUAAUACUCUAAGUCAGUGGACUCUCCUUUCCAGCCAUCUAACCCUACCCGUCCGAUCGAUCAAAUCUUCUCUAUUCUAUGUAUUUUUUAUUUCUACCGUUGGAUUUGUGAAAUUUCCUUUCACAAGCAUGAUUUAAGAAUGGGCAACGUCCCUAUAAAUGUUUUAUUUGUACGCAGCUUGACUACAUACAUAGUUUGUAAAAUCAUCUUUAAUAUUUUUUCAGUUUUUUUUUUAUUUUAGUACAAAUACUACGAUUCUUCUAAAUAUAGUAAAAAUAUUAAUUUAUAUGUUAGAAAAAAAUAGAAGUAAGUCGAAAUAUAUU
rnacentral:lncRNA from 1 species